UGAAUUCAACGCGAUCUUUUCAUAAUAACUGACGUUCUUUGAAAUUUCGUAUACCGAUAAUAAAACGUUUUAGUUUAAAACGUUUCACUUUUCGCGUCAUUAGCAUUUAGGUAUACCGCAGUGCAGUAGUGUAUAUUCAAAGCGUACACUAAAUACAACAAUGCCAUGGCACGCAAAUCAUUCAUUUCCCCCACCCAAAUAAACUUUGUAAAUAAUCCGUACGAUUCUGUAAAUAUCGCG